rnacentral:rRNA from 1 species
AUUGAACGCUGGCGGCAGGCCUAACACAUGCAAGUCGAACGAGUGGCGGACGGGUGAGUAAUGUCUGGGAAACUGCCCGAUGGAGGGGGAUAACUACUGGAAACGGUAGCUAAUACCGCAUACCAUCGGAUGUGCCCAGAGGGGAUUAGCUAGUAGGUGGGGUAACGGCUCACCUAGGCGACGAUCCCUAGCUGGUCUGAGAGGAUGACCAGGCACACGGGAACUGAGAGACGGUCCAGACGCCUACGGGAGGCAGCGGUGGGGAAUAUUGCACAAUGGGCGCAAGCCUGAUGCAGCCAUGCCGCGUGUAUGAAGAAGGCCUGCGGGUUGUAAGGUACUUUAAGCGAGGAAGCGUUACUCGCAGAAGAAGCACCGGCUAACUCCGUGCCAGCAGCCGCGGUAAUUC